CUCGCUCCUCCCUCCCUCGUCCUCACCCGCCGCCGCUCCCUCCAACCACCUCCUCCUCCUUCCGAUGGGUCGCCGGAUCCGUCGGCCACCCCAUGGACUUCGCCUGGAAAACGCGGGCUGGGAGAGAGAGCGCGGGCGGGCGGUAGAGGAGGGUGGCGGGCGCCGACGUCGCAGUCGAGGGGGAGCAGGGCCAGUCGGCCGGAGCUGGAGGCCGGCGCUGGAGGAAGGAGCGGCGAGGAGAGAGACGCCGGCCAUCGGGGACCUCCUAGCCCUCUUCUCCUUGUCGCCAUGGCAGGUGGAGCUCGAGCCAUCGGUCAGCCUCCCCCUCCCCAUGCGUAGAACAAUGUGUGCAGAUCUGUAAAAGAAGAGAAGAGGAAGAAUCCCAAGGAAGAGUUUGGUGAAGAAGAAUAAGGUGACUAUGUGAGUUGCAUUGACAGAAUCCAUGUAUUAAGCUGGGGCAUUUUUGGCAGCUGCAGCAACCUGACAAUUCAUUUGUUCUCAUACAAGAUGCUUGUGAAGUACAUGGGGAAGGCGUGCAUGGUUGAUGAUUAUGUUCUGGAUUGGAGGCCGAAGCAAACUCCGUCAGGUUUCAGAUAAUUACUUCAGGUUAGGCGGGAGAAAUAAAAAGGGUAACCAUAGAUAUAUGGUGUAGCAUCAUGAGGUUCAGGUUCCUGCUGUUGAUCAACCGUUGCUUCGGUCGAGUGCGAACCCGGAUCAGUUGCUGCUCCAAACCAGACAAUUUGGAGGAUGAACGCGAGUCUCCCAGCGAUGCCAUGGUUAGCACUGUUCUUUCAGUUGUCUCUGUUUCAAACCAUACAAUUCAUUUAGGCAAAAUACUGGAGCCACUAUCAUUCAUACUGUAUUUGGCAUGGUAGUGGACAGUCAGAACCUUACGGUCUUGCAACAUCCUCAGAAUAAAUAUUCUGCUCCAAUCAGGUUCUAUGUAUAUUCUGUUAUCCACGGUUUAUCUCAGAAACGAGGAUUUCAUAUUACACAAGUGAAGAAUCCUUGAGAAAUGUUUAUGGCAAAUGUCAACCGUAAGUCCGCACAAGACAUAAGUGAUCCCCAAAUGGUGAACAGUGCCAUUCUACAAAAUAAAAUGUCUGCAGAACAAAAAGGACCCUGAACAAUUUCUGGAAUUUUUGUGUUCCUUUAUUUGUUACUCCUCUGCACUACAUCAAUUUUUCCAGGCUCGUUUUGCUUUCAAGUCUGAUGCGCGUGUUUUUUCUCAUAUAUAUAGGAAGAAGAAAGUAUUCGCUCCAGACGUAGAUGUCUAGCUUGCCUGUGUGCUGUAACAUUAAUCAGUGCAUCGGGCCCAAAGUUUUCUAUCAUUGGAACCUUGAUGAUUUAUCUCAUUUGAACAUAAUCUAACCCCUCUGAUUUUUUUCAGUACAUAAUUGUACACCUUCUAUGCCCCGCUUAAUUGUGUGUUCAUUUUGUUAAUCAAGAAGCAUCUGAUUUUAUGGCUGGCGUGGUGCUCCAGCGCGACCGCUUCGUGUGUUGCCUCGAGUCGCAUGGCCACCAUGCCCGCGCCGAGGCGAAGGCCGCUGCCACUCUCAACGCCCUCUGCUGCGUGCUCUCGCCGGCGGCGUUUGCAAAGCCUUGUCGUGGCGCUGCAAGUGUUGCCCCCCUCCUCCCCAAGGGCAAGGUGAAGGAAGGUGCAUGUGUGGUUCUUCAGCAGCUCGCAGCGAGGAUUGCUGUGUCCAACCUACAGAAGUAUGCCAAGAAGUUCUCGGAGAUGAUUAAGGACAUGUCCCCGCACUACAACGAGAGAUCUGAGCUGUUUGGAAGUUAGUUUAGGUUUUUGUUGUGGAUUCACAGCUUCUCACAUGUAUGAUCCUCUUAGACCUUUAGAUUUCCAAAGAAACUAAAUGAAGAUAUGGUGGUAUGGUCUCAAUAGUACAACUUAAAGCCUUCCAUGUUUUAUAUUUUCUUUAAAAUUUGCUCUUGAAGAAUUAUGUAUCUAUGUUAGAUCCGGUGAGAAAAGGCGGCUUUCAAGUAGAGGUUGCUGCAGUGUUGGGCACAUUUGGUUUUCGACUUAAGUGUCUAAAUAUUCUCACAAUACUUGGCUCCCUUUCGGCCUUUGCGCCAUUGGCGCAACGAGUCAUCUAGUGACUAUAACAAAGAAAAGAAAGCCUAGUAUGGCCCAGUUUGUACUAAGAAUAAAAACAUUUUUUAUCUGUGAAAAAGAAAGCUCAGGUUUUGCCAUAUUAUGAAAAAAAAACUGCCAUUAAAAGAAGAAAACUGAGAACUAAAAAAUCCCAGUGAUGCAAACCGGAAAUUGCCAUCUG